rnacentral:rRNA from 1 species
UACGAAGGGUGCAAGCGUUACUCGGAAUUACUGGGCGUAAAGCGUGCGUAGGUGGUUUGUUAAGUCUGAUGUGAAAGCCCUGGGCUCAACCUGGGAACGGCAUUGGAAACUGUCUUACUAGAGUGCGGUAGAGGGGUGUGGAAUUCCCGGUGUAGCAGUGAAAUGCGUAGAUAUCGGGAGGAACAUCUGUGGCGAAGGCGACACCCUGGACCAGCACUGACACUGAGGCACGAAAGCGUGGGGAGCAAACAGG